CCUACGGGGAGCAGCAGUGGGGAAUAUUGCACAAUGGGGGAAACCCUGAUGCAGCGACGCCGCGUGAGUGAAGAAGUAAUUCGUUAUGUAAAGCUCUAUCAGCAGGGAAGAAAAGACGGUACCUGAGUAAGAAACCCCGACUAACUACGUGCCAGCAGCCGCGGUAAUACGGAGGGGGCAAGCGUUAUCCGGAUUUACUGGGUGUAAAGGGGGGGGAGACGGCAGUGCAAGUCUGGAGUGAAAGGCGGGGGCUCAACCCCCGGACUGCUCUGGAUACUGUACGGCUGGAGUGCAGGAGAGGUAAGUGGAAUUCCUAGUGUAGCGGUGAAAUGCGUAGAUAUUAGGAGGAACACCAGUGGCGAAGGCGGCUUACUGGACUGUAACUGACGUUGAGGCUCGAAAGCGUGGGGAGCAAACAGGAUUAGAUACCCUUGUAGUC
rnacentral:rRNA from 1 species